rnacentral:rRNA from 1 species
ACGAACGCUGGCGGCGUGCUUAACACCUGCAAGUCGAACGGAAAGGCCUCUUUCGGGGGGUACUCGAGUGGCGAACGGGUGAGUAACACGUGAGUAACCUGCCCUUGACUUUGGGAUAACUUCAGGAAACUGGGGCUAAUACCGGAUAGGAGCUCCUGCUGCAUGGUGGGGGUUGGAAAGUUUCGGCGGUUGGGGAUGGACUCGCGGCUUAUCAGCUUGUUGGUGGGGUAGUGGCUUACCAAGGCUUUGACGGGUAGCCGGCCUGAGAGGGUGACCGGCCACAUUGGGACUGAGAUACGGCCCAGACUCCUACGGGAGGCAGCAGUGGGGAAUAUUGCACAAUGGGUGGAAGCCUGAUGCAGCAACGCCGUGUGCGGGAUGACGGCCUUCGGGUUGUAAACCGCUUUCGCCUGUGACGAAGCGUGAGUGACGGUAAUGGGUAAAGAAGCACCGGCUAACUACGUG